GAGUGGCGAAAAUACCCUCCGUUUGGUUUGCUUACAGCCGUGUUUGCCUUUCUUGAACAGUAAAAAGUCGGUUUUACCCUCCUUUGCCACAUUUUUGUCGUCCCUGAUUUCAGAGGGGGUAUACCACAGCCUCUAUCUCUUCUAGUCUUCUUUUCGUUUCUGUGUCGCAAACCUAUUGUUUCUCUCAUUCAUACCUCUCCUUGCCUCGCUCUCUGAUCUCGAGUUCUCUGUGUGUUUCCGUUUUUUUCCAGAAAAUGAUUAACUCAGUGAAGUUUGUUUAGAUCGUUUUGUGGGGAGCUGCAGCUAAAACUGCUAUCUCGCUGAAAAAUAGUCGAUUUCGUCUAGAUUUGCAGAAAAUUUGGAGCCCAUAAGGGAUCGCGCUUCCUGCUGCCGUUUUGGUCGGUUGAAUCUGCGGGUACCGGAUAAGGCACCUGCGAAAGGUGGUUCGAGCUUCAAUCAGCUUCUGGGGUUUAAAGGACCUUCAAAGAAAACUGAGAUUCAGUUUUUCCGGUUUCUCACGUUUGUUUGCAGUGUGUGAAGGCCUCUGUAUUUAAGUUCAAAUAGCUAAAGUUGAGAAAAAACGAUUGGAGUUUAAAGUCUUGCAUAUUUGAAAGUUGAAUGUGAGCCUUUGAAGGGCUUUGUAAAUGUGUUCUCAGUUGUACGGCAUUUCAUGCAGCAGACCUUGAUAGCAAUUUUGGCUUGAUUUAGCGGUUUCAUUCACUGACGGGUAUGGAUAGUGUGUGAACAGAGAUUAAGCUAUGUGGUGGGCAGAAAUGAAACGGUUAAAGAAGGGUGCGGGGAAACUUUAGAAAAUAUUAAGGAAGGUGAAUUGAUCAUGGUUAUGAUGAAUUCUCAUUUAGAGUUGGUGACAACGAAUUGACUCACCACCAACUUUAGAUCAAGAUUCAAGCAUGCCUUAAAUCCAAAGCUUGCAUUAAGACAAACCUCACCAACCGCUGUGUUGAUUAAGACAAAAGAAAAUUAUAAACAGUAGCUUAGAAGUUAUUUGUGGGUUCGGACGAAGGCAGCGAAUUGAGGAAGCCGAAGAAUUGUAGCUUCAAACAGAUUUUCGUGGAGCAUGGGUCCAGACGGUAACAAUACUGUUUGUCAUAGUAGACAACCCGUUUGAAAAUUUUCAUUGAUUACAGGUUCAAUUCAAGCCUACUUUAACGUCGCUCUCUCUCUCAUUACUUUUUAGAAUAGCUCACAUCUAACACAAUUCGAUACUUGCAUAUGCACAACACGUAGACGAUUAAUGUGAUUAAAACACAUAAAACAUUAUUCACCUAAUAUCAUAUCAUUAAAAGAGAAUAGAAAAGAAAUAAAAAGAGAAUAUAGACUAACAUAAUUUCAUAUCACAUUCAUUUUGAGUUUGUUCAACAAGUGUUCUCCUCUUCCAUUCCAUGGAUUGGAAAUGUCUCACAAAGACACAAAGAUGACGACAUAAACCUCUAGACUCUAUUAGCUACGCUCCUAUGAUGAUGAUGAUUAGGAUUGAGGACUCAACCUAACCAACAAUUAUUUAAUGAAAAUCAAAAUGAGAAGACACUAUUGACUCAACUCGGACAUGACUCGCUGGAAAGAAACACAAACUCACUGCAAAUUAUUGUAGUUACAUAUAACGCCAGCCACUCACGCCUUCAUUCUUUACUUUUUAAUCUUGAUUUCAGCCAUUGGCACCACUUCCAAACCAUUUUUUGUUGACAAUGUAUCAAUUGUGGAAACUUUCCCCCAUUGAUCCAUUUGCUUACCACCACAAAUCUCUCAUACCAAGGCCAAUCCUUCCAUUUGCCUUCCUGGAUUUUCUUUUCCUUGAGCUCCUUGGGGGACAUGAACAACUCCUUGUCUUCAGCUGGACAUGAACAACCCUUGUGUUGAUCGGUACUUCCACUACGCCAAGGGACAAGACGCCAUGUCGAUCGUGGAAUUUCGCAAAACUCGAAGCAAGUGCUUCCCUCAGCCUGGUCGCACAAUCCUCUAACCACCCUCAAACUUAUCUGCAACUUAAUAGACAGACGCAACGGCGGUGUUGUUCAUGUCUAAAGGACCACCGUCGCUUCAAAAAGAUUACCGGCCAGCUGAAGACCAUGAGUUUUUCAUGUCCCUAGGGAGCUCUGGUAGGAGAAAAUCCGGAAGGUAAAUGGAAGGAUUGACCUUGGUAUGGGAGAUUUGUGGUGGUGAGCAAAUGGAUCAAUGGGGGAAACUUUCCAAAAUUGAUACCUUGGCAACAAAAAAUGGUUUGGAAGUGGUGAAAGUGGCUGAAAUCCAGAUUAAAAAGUAAAGAAUGAAGGCGUGCGUGGCCGGCGUUAUAUGGAACUACAAUAAUUUGCAAUGAGUCUGUUUGAGUCCGAGUUGUGUCAGUAGUGUCUUCUCAUUUCAGUUUUCAUUAAAUAAUUGUUGGUUAGGUUGAGUCCUCAAUCGUAAUCAUCAUCAUAGUAGCGUAGCUAAUAGUCUAAAGGUUUAUGUCGUUGUCUGUGUGAGACCUUCCAAUUCCAUGGAAGAGGAGCACACUUGUUUAACGAAUUCAAUAUGAAUGCGAUAUGAAAUUAUAUUAGUAUAUAAUAUUCUCUUUUCUAUGUUCUUUUAAUGAUAUGAUAUUAGAUGAAUAAUGUUUUUUGAUCGUAAUCAUCAACGCAUUGAGCAUGUGCAAGUUUCGAGUUGUGUUAGAUGUGAGCUAUUCUAAAAAGUAAUGUUAGAGAAGCCAUUAAUUUAAAUCAUAUUUUAUAACUACUUAUUUAUUGGUCUGAAAGUGAGCCCUUCAUUUAAUUUAAUGUAAUAUUUUUCUUUCACAAAUUUGAAACAUAUAUAUAUCACUAGUUAAGUUUUUUCUACCAUCUUCAUACUCCACCUUGUAAAUAAGGAACGGAUUAAGAAUAGAGGGAAAUGUUACAUGUCAUAAUGCAUGUGACUAAAAAAUUGUUACAUCUUUUGUUUUUCGGAAAAAAAAUGUUACAUAUCAUAACACUAAUAGAUGUCGAUGUAAUUAAGUCAUAAUGCAUGUGACUAAAAAAUUGUUACAUCUUUUGUUUUUCGGAAAAAAAAUGUUACAUAUCAUAACACUAAUAGAUGUCGAUGUAAUUAAGGCUCAUUUCUAGUGAUUUUUCAAGGGGAAAAUUAAAUUUUGUAAACUAAAUGUCAUAGAAAUUGAUGAUUGGAUUAUUACUUAAACGUUGAUAAAUAUGUUUAUUUUCUAUUGGUGACACAUCAUUUAGUUUGCAAAUUUAGUCUUCUUAGCAUUACUCUUUCAAGAGUGGUGCUAUCCACAUACAUAAUUUAACUUUUCAUGGUUUAUAUUCGACCAUCAGAUCAAACGACGAAAAUCAAUAAAAAAAUACGUGAGACGUAAAAUGAGUGUGAAUAACACUACUCAAUUUCCAAUUCCACAAUAAAAAAUUUAUUAUUAAGGGAUACCUCUGUGGGCCCGUUUUGCCAAAAGUGGAAAGAAAAACCUUUUAGGCCUUGUUUGGCAGCUUGAAUUGUAUUAACUAACACUACUCAAUUUCCAAUUCCACAAUAAAAAUUUUAUUAUUAAGGGAUACAUCCGUGGGCCCGUUUUGCCAAAAGUGGAAAGAAAAACCUUUUAGGCCUUGUUUGGCAGCUUGAAUUGUAUUAACUAUUUCUAUCAGAUAGAAUAAAUAGUCAUUGGAUAGUAUUGACUAAAUUAGUCGAGUGUUUGAUGCAGUAUCGGACUAAUGACUGUAUUAUUUAUAGUGUGUUUGAUAUUAUACUGGAUAGGAGAAAUUCAAAAUAUUAAUAUUUUAAAGAUAAAAAUUGAUGAUUAAUGGGAAAAAAUGUACACAUUCACGACCAUCAAAUGGGUCAAAUAAAAAAAAGAACAAAAUCUUCCUUUAUAUAAAUCAAACUUAAAAAAAAAAAUUUAAAAAUUGAAAUCAUCUCUUUUGUUCCUCAUAUCUCUUUGCCGCACCCCCCUAAACUCCCUCUCUUCUUCUUCCCCGACUAUAGAAGAAUUUCAAAUAAUUGUUCCUUAGAUCUCUUCGUCACACCCCCCAAACUCCUUCCCUCUCUCUCCUUUCUUCUUCUUCCCUGACUGCAAAAGAAUCCCAAAUUGAAAUCAUCUCUCUGCCGCACCACGUUUCUUUGCAAGACCCAGUUGCAGGGGAGGACGGCGAGUAGGUGAUGAGGAAGGCCACAAGGAGAGGACAACGAGGAAGGCAACGAGGACUAGGAGAGCAAAGAUGGCGAGAGAAAGCGACGGCGACAAAAAGCAAUGGCAAGAGAAGGCAACGAGGAGGACGACAAUGGUGAUAGAAGGUGACGGGGAGGACGACGACACCGAGAGAAGAAGAGAGAGAGAGGGCCGAGUUCGCCAGAGAGGAGGGCAAAACAGAUUAAUAAUCCAAGCCUUUUGGUUGGUUUUAUUAAGCAGACGUAUACCAUGUUAAAUAAGCAGGCUGAUUAAUCGGCGCUUAUUUAAUAUGAGUGAACGCCAAACACCCGAGUUCGUAUAACUAGUCCUAUCUGAUCCUUUAUCCGAUCUGCCAAACAGGGCCUUAAGGUGGUGAUUGGUGAGCAAACUGGAGUUUUCAACAUGAUGGGCAGAGAUUUUUCAGUGUAACCGGAAUACGGGGUUGUACACCACAUGUUACUAUACAAUGAUAGGUUAUGUGUGUUAAAAACUUAAAAACUUAAAAAAUAAAAUUUCUCAUUACUUCCAUAAAAACACGUAAUGUACCAUCCUUAUUUUCGUCACAAUAAAAAAAAAAAUUCCAUGAUGAGGGAAAUGAGGAGUGUGGUCCCAACUGGUGUUCAAAAGUAAUAUAUUUUCCUGACCAUAGGGGAUCUCAGGUAUUGAAUGUGUUGAUUUAUCUGCAAGCAAAAGUUGAGACGAUGGAUUUGAUCAAAAAGUUGAAAUGGCAUGGUGUAUGUUUGAGAUAUACUAAAACUCAAACCAAAAGCUACUGUUCAUUAACAGUAGAGUGACGAAAAUGCCCUUCAAUAUGUCUCUCUCGAUAUUGAUUAACUACUUUCAACCUUUUGUCCAUUUUCUCGAUAUAUCUCUCUCGCAGAAGGUUGUUGCCGAUAAAGGAACAAAAAGAUACACCCCUUCAGUCGUCUCAAUUACAACCCUCAGGACUUUUAGUUGGGUGAAAAGGGUUUUGAUCGUAAGCCUUUCAUCCGUCGAAGUACGGCCAGUUCUCACUAUGUUUUUCAUUGGCUGCAAUCUUGGAUAACAGUAAGCGUUUUUCGCUUGCAGAUGAGGCCAUUUUCUUGGUUCCAAAGAACAAACACACAAAGCUCUAUAGCUGGAGGGGGAAUGAUAAUAUUAUUACUGGAAGCCUGGAACGACUGUAGUGAUUUUUUUUUUUUCAAGCAAUGAAGUGUGAGGCAAAGGGUAAGGCAGCUGUGGAAUUUAUAGGCAGUGGAAGAUUCGUGGCUGCCAUUCAGUGAUGAUGUAGGUAAAAAGUUGAUUUUCUAUUUUUACUGCCUAUAGCUACUGCUAAUGCUUAAGCCAAGAAGUAUGGGGCUGACAUUUCAAGAAAAGUUAUCUAUGAACAGCAGCAGGAGUUGUUACCGCAACACGAAACCUAGCUUUUGCCUAUCCGCUGACAUCUAUCUGAAGAACACGUUGCUCUUCGUUUUUUUGGAAUUUUGUUUUUGUUGGAGAAAAAGCUCAAAGGAAAAAACCGAAAUUAUUUAUCUUGAGCAUAAAGGGCUUCGAAAGCGGCACACAAAAGCCCCUAAAAACGAAGACAAAUAGAUGGGAAGAAUUAGAAUUCAUUUUGAUUAAAGAAAGUGAAAUUAACCUUGCUGUAUUAUACUUCUUGGUUGUUUUGAUGAAGUUGGGAAUAAAGGGCAUAAUAAUUCGAUUUGGUUUCCCUCUGUACAUUCUGUGUUUCUAAUGGAAAUUUAGAACCUUUUCUUUUC